UACGAAGGGUGCAAGCGUUACUCGGAAUUACUGGGCGUAAAGUCGUGCGUAGGUGGUUUGUUAAGUCUGAUGUGAAAGCCCUGGGCUCAACCUGGGAAUUGCAUUGGAUACUGGCAGGCUAGAGUGCGGUAGAGGGUAGUGGAAUUCCCGGUGUAGCAGUGAAAUGCGUAGAGAUCGGGAGGAACAUCUGUGGCGAAGGCGACUACCUGGACCAGCACUGACACUGAGGCACGAAAGCGUGGGGAGCAAACAGG
rnacentral:rRNA from 1 species